UUUUUUCCUGGAAAAUAGACUCAAAUAUCUUUCAUGUGACAUAUAAAACGUAGCAUUUGGACCUCUGGUGUNGUUGNAGUUAUUAUUUUAAAAUCGAGUCCAGAGAGUGAAAAUGCUAAACCAAAUACUAGACUAAACAAAUAUCUAAGCACAGUUAAAUUAAAUUAAAUGCAACACUAAAUUAAAGAAAUUAAAAACAACUAAUCCUACCAUGCAAAUGAAUGCAAAACAAAGGGGUAAUUAAACAAGCUUUAGGACAAAACUUAAAGAGGAAAUGUUCCCUUAGUCAAAAGUAGCUCCAUUUGUGCUUGGCCAAAUCGGGUAAAAAAUUAAUUACACCUUCUCUCUUCCUUCUCCACUCCAUUUUCGUUUUUCUUCAACAACCAAACUUUCAAAAUGUUUCUUCCCACCUCCAAAANCGUGAACACACUCCAAGGAACCCCAUUUCAAGUUGCAACACCAUUCAAGAACAAUAAACCCACACUACUANUAAUUCAACCCAACCAAAUCUUCCAUUUCUUCAAUUUUCUUUGCAAAAAUGAAAAUAAUAUCUUAGCCAUCAAGUCCAGCUCUGUCCAGCCACAAUAACAACCCCAAAAUCUGGUUCCAUCCUUGCUUCAAACAUGAAAAACGAAAUUCAAGAAGAAAGAGCCCAAACCACAACNCCCACACAUCAAGUUAAGCUCUAUUCAACCCAAAACUCACAUAGAACUCCAUUUUUAUCAUCCAACCAAAUAAAAUGCAAAGAAAACCUAGAAGAACAGCAGCAAAGGAAGAGGAAAACGAAAUACAAAGUCACUCAAAACCAACAUCCACCAUGGAAAUGCAAAGACAAGCUCCAAAACUCAAACUCCAAGCAUCAAGAACAAGCAAAUGGAAGUGGAAAUGAAUGGUUUUUCACCACCAAUAAGCUAAGACAACCAAGAGUAAGUUAAGGGAAGAAGAAAAUCUGCAUCUUGCUCAUUGAAAUGGCCAAAACCGAGACACCCAAGUCAAGCUCUCCAUGAGAGUGUUCAUACAUGAAACCCUAGAAGAGAAAAGUUCAAAACAUGAAAAAUGAAGUGUGUAAGAGUGUCUAAAGUGUGUGGUCAGCCAAGGCUCUCUAAAAUGCUGAGAGUUGCCCUCCAAAUGGGGUCCACAAAAAAAUACAAACCCUAACCUAAAAGGCACAUGACCUACACAUGGGUGUUUUUUACAAAAUUGCCCCCAAAAGGGUCCAAAACACCUAAUUCUAAUUAAGGUUUCUAAAAAAAACGAAAUUACAACUUUAUAAAUGGAAAUGGCUAAAUGUUGAGUCUUAAAUGAUCAUGCCACCAUCCCUAAUGCUCCAAAUGAUGUUUCCCAAAAUUUCCCUGCAACCAAAAUACACUUAAUCAGCUCAGAAAACCCAAAUUAGCACAAUUAUGAAUUUCCGACCAAAUUAAGCAGAAUUCGGAAAACGGGGAAAUAACAGAGAAUUAAACACAAUUCCCUGGUUUAUUUAAGUGCAAUAAAAUAAAUAUAGUUCAAGAAAUAACCA
rnacentral:lncRNA from 1 species